GCAUAUGGAGUUCCUGGGCCAGGGAUCAGAUCCGAGCUGCAACUGCAACCCAAGCCACAGUUGGGAAGACCAGAUCCUUAACCCACUGGCCAGGCUGGGGAUUGAACCUAUGUCCCCGCAUACCCAAAAUGCCACUGAUCCCGCUGUGCCACAGCAGGAACUCCACCUAUUUAUUUAUUUAUGUAUUUAUUUUGCUUUUUAGGACGGCACCCAUAGUACAUGGAAGUUUCCAGGCUAGGGGUCGAAUUGCAGCUGCUACCCUACACCACAGCCACAGCAACUUGGGAUCCAAGCCACAUCUGAGACCUACACGACAGCUCACAGCAAUGCCAGAUUCCCAACCCACUGAGCUAGGCCAGGAAUCGAACCUGCAUCCUCUUGGAUACUAGUAGGAUUUGUUUCUGCUGCACCAAAAUGGGAACUCACACACCAAUUUAUUUCUAUCUCCCUUUCUAUAACCAUCUGACAGCAGCUAAUCUCAUAUCAUAUCUCCAUAUUUAAGUUAUAGGAUGUCAAGCAGAAAAUAUGAGUAGGUGCAGGCAAAAAAAAAAAUUAACCCAACUACGGAUAAAGGGAUUUUUUUUAUCCUUUCUUAAGGAAUGGGUUUGUAUGUUAUUAGCUGAACAAAGGAUAGCUGCAUUACAUUUACCAUAAGUUCAGUUUUGCAAGUGUCUUUAUUAAAAUCAAAUAUGUUUAAAAGAGGUAUGCACUGGAUUUCUCAUUAUGGCUCCGUGGUAACAAACCCGACUAGUAUCCGUGAGGAGGCAGGUUCAAUCCCUGGCCUCACUCAGUGGGUUAAGGAUCCAGUGUUGCUGUGAGCUGUGGUGUGAGUCAGAGAUGUGGCUCAGAUCCGGUAUUGCUGUGGCUGCGGUAAGCUGGCAGCUGCAGCUCUGAUUCAACCCCUAGCCUGGGAACUUCCAUAUGCCAAAGGUGCAGCCCUAAAAAGCAAGAAAUUUUAAAAAAGAGGUGUGCAUUGGCGCCAUGGUGACAAGGGAUGACCUGUGAUGGCUUUUUAUCCUAGCUGGGUUGCAACUACAUUUUCCCGAAUACCAUUCCCUCCCUGCAUGGUUGUGGGUUAGGUCUGGCCUCAAAAAAAAAAAAAAAAAAAAAAAGAAAAGAAAAAAAAAAAAAAAAUCCCAUGAGAUUUAGCAGACUAAAGUGAAGCAGCAGCCAGGUUCAGAACAUCAGUGUAAGGUCUGGUGUUACUGCAGUUCUCAAAUUGUUGUGGAUCUUUGGGCUCACCUUAUUGAAGUAUGGCAGCAACUGGGCCUACAGUCCUUCGAGCUCCUGUCAAUCUCCGCCUUUGCUUUCCUAAAUAACACUGGGACGCAUUUGUAUGCAGCACCACGGUGAGGCGUGCCACAUCUACUGCAGGCUACCUAUAUCAUCAAGGUUGAAAGUUACCUACAUCAUCAAGGUUGCAAGUGCGGAAACAGUGAGAGAGUGAUGAAGGUUCAAGUUUAGACUCAGAGGAUCCAACUCAUUUAAGUUCCAAAUAUUCUUUGCAGGUUUCAGUUUAACCUUAGUUUCCUCCACUUCAUGCCCAUGUUCCCUUCCCAACUGCCAGCCCUGAUGACUUCAAGCCUAGCAGAGAUUCAAAUGUGUAUAACUACUUCCUACAAUUAGUAAAACCCAAUCACUGUAAUAAUUUUACUUCUCUAAUCAAACUCUAAGUGACAGAGACAAAAAUGUUAGUUAGGGUUAGACUACUGUAGAAAGAGCUGAAUGUGUCUACCUGCCUCUUUUCAACCUCUUAUAAUACUCAACUAAAGGCAAAAAGUCAAAUAGCAUAUAAUGGGGUUAUAGUGUACAUCAUGUUCCUUUCACCGGAAAAUACUUAAGGAUUUACCUGAAGGAUGUUACAUUUUAAAUGCAUUUACUUUCUAAAGAAGCAAGUUCAAAUUUUUAAGUCUACCUACUUACAAAGAUACAUUUGCAUUAAAACGACAAAAUAAGAUAUGUUCAAAUUCAAAAGAACAAUUAAAAACAAUACAUGCAUAUAUAUAUGCAUAUAUAUAUAAACUAUAAUACUGUUAACCUUAGACUUUGUGCCAAAAGGCUAGAACAACCAAUUUAAGAAGAUUAUGUGCCAUCUCUACAAUCAACUCACCCAGUUCCCUCUUGGACACACUUUCUUUUUAAAUCUAUUUUAAAGUUAGAGUUCUAAAAUCAAAGUUUUGUCGGAAUGAUUCUGAAGGGUCCUCUGGACCUGAGCUGGUCCUAACUAUUUAAAUGUAAAUAGAUGUCUUAUAGCCCUAUCAAGAUCACAAAUUUUAAGAUAGAAGCAGUUGAGACAUUAACAUUUUAGUAACUUUUCCCACAGAGUAGAACUACAAAGAGAAGUAAAAGUUGAAAACAGUUGAAAAACAACAUUUUCUUCCAAUAUCUGGUCCCAUGUGUCUCACGGCUAUCUAUCAGAGGCUGCUGCUAAUAAAAGGGGAAUAAAAGAGCAGCAGAAAUAUGACUGUCCUUUUCGCGAGUCUUUGUAACACUCUUUAGCUCAACUUUUAACUAAAUAAUUACCUACUUAAAUUAUGUAAUUAAAGCAAUAGUGAGUUUCUAUCUUACUCUAAAAACACAUAACCCUAAAACAAGGUGUGCAGUAAGUAACUAUGCUUAGAAGGACUGUUUGAAAUGAAUGAAAAUGGGCUUAUAUAGCUUUUCCCCUGAGGACACUCCACGUCUACAAUAGCACAGGGUCACCAGAACUCAAGCAGAAAGUUGAGUUAAUACAGUUUUACUAAGCUCCUAGCACAGAGUGGCUGGAAAAUCAGGAAAGGAGUGAACCAGAGCACAAGUCUCAAAAACGAAUAUAAAUGCCUUUAAAUUCUUCACUGACCCUUGAACUGAGUGUGCUCAGGGAAGAUCCCAAGGAGCGCAGUGGUAAACAACAAAUGGAAAGCUAAAAGAACUGAGAAACAAUUUCAGCUGCUGCCCACUGCAGAGGAGACAUGACCCUGGCCAAGUCACAAGGGCUUAAAAAGCACCAAGUCCUUCUACAGACCCACCUUAAAGUGUAAGACCAAGCCUCCGCACGUUCCGGAUGAUCAAUCAGUAAAUUAUACUCAUCAGAGGAAGAUAAAGAGAAUUUAGAGAUAUAUCAUCCACAAUUAAAACUUUCUAGGAGUUCCUGCUGUGGUUCAGUGGGUUAAGAAUCUGACUGCAGCAGCUCAAGUCACUGCAGAGGUGCAGGCUGGAUCCCCAGCCCAGCACAGUGGGUAAAUGGAUCCAGCAUUGCCACAGCUGCAGCUAAAGUCACAGCUGCAGCUCAGAUUCCUGGCCCAGGAACUUGCAGGUGCAGCCACUUAGAAAAAAAAUAAUAAUAAUAAUGACCUUGAAGACAGAUCAGUAAAUUAUUCAAUCUAAGAACUGAAGAGGAAAGGCUGCAAAAAAUUAAAAACAAGAGACUCACAGACCAACACUACAUUUUUAAGCAAAACAAUAAGACUCUCAGGAGUUCUCGUUGUGGCUCAGCAAUUAACGAACCUGACUGGGCAUCCAUGAGGACGCAAGUUCGACCCCUGGCCCUGCUCAAUGGGUUAAGGAUUCGGCGCUGCCAUGAGCUGUGGUGUAGGUCACAGACGCAGCUCAGAUCCCAAGUUGCUGUGGCCCUGUCAUAAGCUGACGGCUACAGCUCUGAUUGGACCCCUAGCCUGGGAACCUCCAUAUGCUGUGGGUGAGGCCCUAAAAAGAGAGAAAAACAAAAACAAAAACAAAAAAAACCGGAGUUCCCGUCGUGGCUCAGUGGUUAACGAAUCUGACUAGGAACCAUGAGGUUGUGGGUUCGACCCCUGCCCUUGCUCAGUGGGUUAAGGAUCCAGCGUUGCCUUGAGCUGUGGUGUAGGUCACAGACGUGGCUCGGAUCUGGUGUUGCUGUGGCUCUGGUGUAGGCCGGUGGCUACAGCUCCGAUUAGGCCCCUAGCCUGGGAACCUCCAUGUGCUGCGGGAGCAGCCGGAGAAAUGGCAAAAAG
rnacentral:lncRNA from 1 species